AUUGAACGCUGGCGGCAGGCCCAACACAUGCAAGUCGAGCGGAGCGGCGGACGGGUGCGUAAUACUUAGGAAUCUGACUGGUAGUGGGGGAUAACGUUGGGAAACGGAAGUUAAUACCGCAUACUAGCAGAUGAGCCUAGGUCGGAUUAGCUAUUUGGUGAGGUAAGUGCUUACCAAGGCUACGAACCGUAACUGGUCUGAGAGGAUGAUCAGUCACACUGUGAAUGAGACACGGUCCAAACUCCUACGGGAGGCAGCAGUGGGGAAUAUUGGACAAUGGGCGCAAGCCGGAUCCAGACAUGCCGCGGGUGUGAAGAAGGUCUUCGGAUUGUAAAGCACUUUAAGUUGGGAGGCGUUACCGACAGAAUAAGGACCGGCUAACUCGGUGCCAGCCGCCGCGGUAAUAC
rnacentral:rRNA from 1 species